rnacentral:rRNA from 1 species
AUUGAACGCUGGCGACAUGCCUUACACAUGCAAGUCGAACGGCAGCACGGGUGCUUGCACCUGGUGGCGAGUGGCGAACGGGUGAGUAAUACAUCGGAACAUGUCCUGUAGUGGGGGAUAGCCCGGCGAAAGCCGGAUUAAUACCGCAUACGAUCUACGGAUGAAAGCGGGGGACCUUCGGGCCUCGCGCUAUAGGGUUGGCCGAUGGCUGAUUAGCUGGUUGGUGGGGUAAAGGCCUACCAAGGCGACGAUCAGUAGCUGGUCUGAGAGGACGACCAGCCACACUGGGACUGAGACACGGCCCAGACUCCUACGGGAGGCAGCAGUGGGGAAUUUUGGACAAUGGGCGAAAGCCUGAUCCAGCAAUGCCGCGUGUGUGAAGAAGGCCUUCGGGUUGUAAAGCACUUUUGUCCGGAAAGAAAUCCUUGGCCCUAAUACGGUCGGGGGAUGACGGUACCGGAAGAAUAAGCACCGGCUAACUACGUG